GGCGGUGUACCCAAGUGGUCUAAGGGAGAGGUCUGCAAAACCUUUAUUCGGCGGUUCGAAUCCGCCCGCCGCCUCCA
rnacentral:tRNA from 1 species